rnacentral:rRNA from 1 species
UACAGAGGGUGCGAGCGUUAAUCGGAAUUACUGGGCGUAAAGCGUGCGUAGACGGUUAUGUAAGUCGGAUGUGAAAGCCCCGGGCUUAACCUGGGAAUUGCAUUCGAGACUGCAUAGCUAGGAUGCGGAAGAGGGAAGUGGAAUUUCCGGUGUAGCGGUGAAAUGCGUAGAUAUCGGAAGGAACACCAGUGGCGAAAGCGGCUUCCUGGUCCAGCACCGACGUUCAGGCACGAAAGCGUGGGGAGCAAACAGG